GACCGGAGCCGCUGGGAGGCCGCCCAGUUUGACGUCCUGCUCCUGCCCAGGCCUCGCCAGGCCCCGGCCCUCCGCAGGCCUCAGUUCCCUUGUCUAUAAAAUGGGAGGUGGAGCCCUUGGGAGCAGAGCUGCUCACCUUUUAAGAGCAUCCUGAAUCUGUCCUCCGGCUGCUCCUCACCUCUCCACUCGAUGUCUAAUGGAUGCCUCCAGCCCAGCAAGUUCACAUGAAGCUCUUGGCUCAAACCCCUUCCUCCACUGACUCUUCUUCUGGGACCCUCAUCCUUCUGUUCAGGAAGCCAAAAAGCUUGGUGUCAUCGUUCACUCCUUUUUCUCACCCCACAUCCAAUCCGUCAGGAAAGCCAGUGACCACCUUCAACAUACACCAGAGUCCCACGCCUUCUCACCACCUCGCCUAGACCACCUGGUCCAAGAUCUCUUGUUAAGGCACGUGCAGUGGCCUCCUGGCCCCAUCACUACUUCAGCCCUGGCCCCCUGCAGUCUAUUCCCAACUGGCACCUGGCCUGGAAGUGAGGCCAUGUUCACCCUCAGGCCCCACCUCACUUGGAGUAACAGCCAAGCCCUUCCCUGCCUACGAGACCCUCGGGGGCUGACCUGUUCUCCCACCACUGCUGGCCUCAGAGCCUUCGCACUGUCUGUUCCCUCUCCCUUUGAAACUCCCCCCAUCAUAUCUGCACAGUGCCCUGCCUCUUGCUUUCAGAUCUCUAUUCAGGGAGGUCUCCCCUGGCCAAUCUGCAUGCAGAUGAGGUCUCCGGUACUUCCCGUCUUAGACAUAUGUUUAUAUGUUCCUUAUCUGUCUCCUCUACUAGAAGUAAGUCUAUGAGGGCAGGAAUUUCUUUCUCCUGUGUUCCCUGCUGUAUUUUCAGUAUCUAGAAUGGUAUCUGGCAUGUAGUAGACCCAGAUAAAUAUUUGCUAAAUAAAUGAAUGAAUGAACAAGUGCCUCCUUCACCAGACAGUGAAGAUUUAAAUGGCAGACACAUGAUCGUACUCACCACCAUAGCCCGAGUACUUGAACCUAAUCAGGGCUCAGGAAAUACUUGCUGAAUCCAUGGGCAGAUGGAUGGAUGGAAGGAUGG
rnacentral:lncRNA from 10 species